ensembl:snRNA U7 U7 small nuclear RNA
UAGUGUUACAGCUCUUUGAGAAUUUGUCUAGCAGGUCUUUGGGUCUUCACUGGAAAGCCCCU